rnacentral:rRNA from 1 species
AGUGAACGCUGGCGGUAGGCCUAACACAUGCAAGUCGAACGGCAGCACAGUAAGAGCUUGCUCUUACGGGUGGCGAGUGGCGGACGGGUGAGGAAUACAUCGGAAUCUACUUUUUCGUGGGGGAUAACGUAGGGAAACUUACGCUAAUACCGCAUACGACCUACGGGUGAAAGCAGGGGAUCUUCGGACCUUGCGCGAUUGAAUGAGCCGAUGUCGGAUUAGCUAGUUGGCGGGGUAAAGGCCCACCAAGGCGACGAUCCGUAGCUGGUCUGAGAGGAUGAUCAGCCACACUGGAACUGAGGCACGGUCCAGACUCCUACGGGAGGCAGCAGUGGGGAAUAUUGGACAAUGGGCGCAAGCCUGAUCCAGCCAUACCGCGUGGAUGAAGAAGGCCUUCGGGUUGUAAAGCGCUUUUGUUGGGAAAGAAAAGCAGCAGGUUAAUACCCCACUGUUCUGACGGUACCCAAAGAAUAAGCACCGGCUAACUUCGUG